UACGGAGGGUGCAAGCGUUAUCCGGAUUCACUGGGUUUAAAGGGUGCGUAGGCGGGUUGGUAAGUCAGUGGUGAAAUCUUCAAGCUUAACUUGGAACUGCCGUUGAUACUAUCAAUCUUGAAUAUUGUGGAGGUAGGCGGAAUAUGUCAUGUAGCGGUGAAAUGCUUAGAUAUGACAUAGAACACCGAUAGCGAAGGCAGCUUGCUACACAAUAAUUGACGCUGAGGCACGAAAAGCGUGGGGGAUCAAACAGGG
rnacentral:rRNA from 1 species